rnacentral:lncRNA from 1 species
CUUCUAGCCACAUGUUGCUAUUCAGCUUCGAAAGAGGAGACGAUAAUAAUUGUAUACACUGUAAAGUUCGUAUUUUUAUUAUCGAUUUAAAAACAGAGAAAAGAAAGAAUAAGGAUAGUUGCCGGUAACUUAUGAAACAUAUAUGCUAUGGGAAAAGACAGAAAGUUGAAGAAAGGAAGACAAGAGGAGGACUUUGGAGAGGUGGAGGUUGAUAUUGAUAGUUUAAAUUCUGAAGAAUCAUCUACUACAAGUAAAAAGAAGAAAUCUAAAAAGAAUUAUGAUGACAAAACUACAGAUCUACUGCAAAAAGUUCAAUCUUUGUCUCUAGAAGAUUUAAACAAUCAAGGAUCUAAAUCUUUAAAUAAAAAAGAAGGAAAGGUUUGUUGAAAAUAUUUCAUAUUUUUUUUCAAAAUCCAAGAAAAUUUGAAAACUUUCAUUUGUUA